rnacentral:rRNA from 1 species
GAGUUUGAUCAUGGCUCAGGAUGAACGCUAGCGAUAGGCCUAACACAUGCAAGUCGAGGGGCAGCACAUGAAGUAGCAAUACAGAUGGUGGCGACCGGCGCACGGGUGAGUAACACGUAUGCAACCUACCUUCCACAGGAGAAUAACCCGUUGAAAAACGGACUAAUACUCCAUAAUACAGGGGUCCCGCAUGGGAAUAUUUGUUAAAGAUUUUUUUUCGGUAGAAGAUGGGCAUGCGUUCCAUUAGCUAGUUGGUUGAGGUAACGGCUCACCAAGGCAACGAUGGAUAGGGGAACUGAGAGGUUUAUCCCCCACACUGGUACUGAGACACGGACCAGACUCCUACGGGAGGCAGCAGUGAGGAAUAUUGGUCAAUGGAGGCAACUCUGAACCAGCCACGUCGCGUGAAGGAUGACGGCCCUACGGGUUGUAAACUUCUUUUAUACAGGAAUAAAGUGAGUCACGUGUGACUUUUUGCAUGUACCUUACGAAUAAGGAUCGGCUAACUCCGUGCCAGCAGCCGCGGUAAA